rnacentral:rRNA from 1 species
UACAGAGGUCUCAAGCGUUGUUCGGAUUCAUUGGGCGUAAAGGGUGUGUAGGUGGCGCCGUAAGUCGGGUGUGAAAUUUCGGAGCUUAACUCCGAAACUGCAUUCGAUACUGCGGUGCUUGAGGACUGGAGAGGAGACUGGAAUUCAUGGUGUAGCAGUGAAAUGCGUAGAUAUCGGGAGGAACACCAGUGGCGAAGGCGACUACCUGGCCUGUUCUUGACGCUGAGGCGCGAAAGCUAGGGGAGCAAACGGG